ensembl:lncRNA novel transcript
AGCCACGAGGCCCACAGCAGCUGGGGCUAUCCAUGGGAAAGGCCCAGCUCCUGUCCACAGCCACAGUCCCUGAACCCAGCGACCCCAUGACACUGCAGGACCCUUUCUCCCACUAGGGCCCUACAUCCACCCUUCCUUGGGGGCAGGAGGCUGGAGAUAUCUAAGGUCCAGGGGAUCCUGGGUGAGGAUGGGAAAGUUAAUCACCUUAUCUAGUGUGUUAGUCCAUAUUGCUUCACUAUAAAGAAAUACCUGAGGCUGGGGGAAUUUAUAUAGAAGAGGGUUAUUUGGCUCACAGUUCUGCAGGAUGUACAAGAAGCAUGGCACUAGCACCUGCUUCUGGUGAGGCCUCAGGGAGCUUCCAAUCAUGGCCAAAGGCAAAGGGGAGCCACUGUGUCACAUGUGAGAGAGAGAGCAAGAGAUGACAGGCUGUCUUAAACCACCAGCUCUCAUGUGAACUAAUAGAGUGAGAACUCACUCAUCAGUUCAGGAAGGGCACCAAGCCACUCAUGAGAGAUCUACCCCCAUGACGCAAAAACCUCCCACCAGAUCCUACCUUAAGCACUGGAGAUCACACUGCAACACGUGAUUUGGAGGGGACAGACAUCCAAACCAUAUUCACCAGUCAAGAGUACCUGACGAGCCCUUAGAGCCCAUUUUUAUUCCCAAUUCACAAGAGAGCUGGUUGUUAAAAGGAGCCUGGGCCAGUGUGAUGGUUCGCAUCUCUAAUCCCAACACUUUAGGAUGCCAAGACAGGAGGAUUGCUUGAUGCCAAGACAGGAGGAUUGCUUGAGGCCAAGUAUUCAAGACCAGCCUGGGCAACACAGACAUUGCAA